rnacentral:misc_RNA from 1 species
UGAAGGUACCUUCUUUCCAUCAUAUCGCUUUGAAGACAGUAAGUAAAGGACCGCAAUUAAAUCAGAGAACCAUUGUUGUAAAUGCAACUAACAAGGAAAUAGAAAUACUAGGGUUGCAAAUCAGCCAAGCAUUUGAGAGCUACCCAAAACUUGGCUCAAUGAAAAAUGUUCUCCUUUGAUUGACUAGGAAGAUGUAAUGUUUAUUUAUAAAAUAUGGAAGAUAUAAUUUAUGAUAUCCAUUAUAUGUAAGUGCCUAUUUAAAUAC